ACAAUAUGUAGCUCUACCUGUCAGUGUCAAGAUGGCUACUAUGAUACAGAUGGUACUGGAAAUAUUGGAGGACAGUGUAGUGCAAAGAAAGACCUAGGAGAAACAUGUACGGAUGUCUCCCAAUGUAGUGACACAAAUACGAUAUGUAGCUCUACCUGUCAGUGUAAAGUUGGCUACUAUGAUACAGAUGGUACUGGAAAUAUUGGAGGACAGUGUAGUGCAAAGAAAGACCUAGGAGAAACAUGUACGGAUGCCUCCCAAUGUAGUGACACAAAUACGAUAUGUAGCUCUACCUGUCAGUGUAAAGUUGGCUACUAUGAUACAGAUGGUACUGGAAAUAUUGGAGGACAGUGUAGUGCAAAGAAAGACCUAGGAGAAACAUGUACGGAUGCCUCCCAAUGUAGUGACACAAAUACGAUAUGUAGCUCUACCUGUCAGUGUAAAGUUGGCUAUUAUGAUACAGAUGGUACUGGAAAUAUUGGAGGACAGUGUA